rnacentral:rRNA from 1 species
CCUACGGGAGGCAGCAGUGGGGAAUAUUGCACAAUGGGGGAAAGCCUGAUGCAGCGACGCCGCGUGAGGGAAGAAGGAUCUCGGUAUGUUAAGCUCUAUCAGCAGGGAAGAAGAAAGACGGUACCUGACUAAGAAGCCCCUGCGAACUACGUUCCAGUAGCCGCGGUCAUACGUAGGGGGCAAGCGUUAUCCGGAUUUACUGGGUUUAAAGGGAGCGUAGGCGGCUGGGCAAGUCUGAGGUGAAAGCCCAGGGCUCAACCCUGGAACUGCUUUGGAAACUGUGGAGCUAGAGUGCUGGAGAGGUAAGUGGAAUUCAUGGUGUAGCGGUGAAAUGCGUAGAUAUUAGGCGGAACACCGAUUGCGAAGGCGGCUUACUGGACAGCAACUGACGUUGAGGCACGAAAGCGUGGGGAGCAAACAGGAUUAGAUACCCCGGUAGUC